GGGUCGAUAGCUCAGCUCGGCCAGAGCUGCUGGUUCCAGACCAGCGUGACGGGGGUUCGAAUCCUUCUCGACCCA
rnacentral:tRNA from 1 species